rnacentral:misc_RNA from 1 species
AAAAGAGGGGAAGAACAAUAAAAAGAAGAAGAGGAGACGCCAUUUUGUGGUUGUCGUUGUGGAGGAAAGUCUUGACACAAGUGGACUGGAACGGAGGGGAAGGCGGAUUCACGUAGCAGUGUCAUUAGCAAAAAAAUGGCAACAUCUCAAAUUGCAUCUAUGUUGGAUGAGCUCAUGGGUCGAAACCGCAACGUGGGUCCCAAAGAGUCUGUGCGUGAGAUCCAAUGGUUUGACUCCGAAGUAUGCCGCUAUUAUCUGGUCCAAUUUUGUCCUCAUGACCUAUUCACGAAUACAAAGGCGGACCUGGGGCCUUGUCCCAAGCUCCAUGAUGAAGAAUUGAAGAAGACCUUUGCGGGAGAGUCUCCGGACCACUACAAGAAGACGCAGUACAUCGACGACUUUUUGCGCUUCUGUGCGCGGAUGUUGAACGAACUCUCUUCACGCAUCAAGAAAGCCAAGGAGCGACUCUCCCUCACUCAACACCAGAUGCUCCAGGUGGACUCGCUUUCCCCGCAGCACAGCGAGAUCCGGGGACAGAUUGAGAUGCUGAGUGAGAAGAUCAAUCAGUUGGUGGAAGAGGCGGAGUCACAGGGGUGUCUGGGGCAAGUGGAGGAGGCACAGGGUCUACUCAAGCUCUGUGAUCAGUUCCGCCAGGAAAGAGACAACCUCCGCAACUCCAUCAAUACAGGGGACAACAUGAUGCUCCAGCAAAAGGCCAUGGAGGUCUGUGAUGUCUGUGGGGCAUUCCUCAUUGUAGGGGAUGCUCAGCAGCGCAUUGACGAUCAUUUGCUUGGGAAACAACAUGUUGGAUAUGCGCGACUUCGUGCAGCUACAGAUAAAAUCACGGAGGAAAGGAAAAAGUGGAGAGAAGAGCGGGAUAAGGACUUGGAAGAGCGCCGUAAAAAAAGGGAUGAAGAUCGAAGCAAAAGACGAAAGCGAAGUCCCUCUCCUAAAAAAGUCAAGGGAGCGAUCAUCCUCAAAACGUGAGAGACGACGAAGAAGCCGCUCGCGGAGACGUAGUCGCUCCCGUAAAAGAAGUCGCUCUCGCGGAAGGAAAAGUCAUUCUCCUCGUGGUGGAGGAGGAGGAUCAACAGCAGGAGGGAGUGGUAGAGAAAGUAAAGGUCGUCGAAGUCGCUCUCGUGGAAAAAGAAGCCGGUCCAGAGAGUCGCGUCGACGUGAGAAGCACCAUAGAUCUAGAAGCCGUAGCAAGGCAUCACCCUCUAAAAAAAAAUCGUCUGAAAACGACGCUAGAUCUACGGCAUUAAAAAUGGUUCUAAUGAGUUCUUAAUAUCCUUCCCCGCAGGCCGAGGAUCACCUUUUCCAGUCAAGACUGACAUCCAUUAAUUAUUAGGUAUUACUGUAUUAUUAAUGAAACUAUCCCCCUAGUUUGUUGUUUUUAUUUUUAUACUUUGUUUCUAUCGUUAUUCUUUCUUUGCGCUUUCAAUCAAGUGAACGCCGAUAAACAUUCAAUCAAGUAAGUGACACUGUUUAUAACACAAUAUAUUCUUUCAGUACAUCAUCGUACAUACAUCGUCUUACCAAAAGUUUAAUCAAAAUUUGUACCCUCAUCCUGCGUUGACGGAUCUUAAAAGAUUCAUUAGCCAUUCAUAAAUAAAAGGUAUUUGAUUAAAAAUUCAAUCUAUGUAUUAUAUUAUCUCUUUGUUUUCUGAUUCUUGUCCCUUUUGAAGCGUUAAAAAAAAAAAAAAGUCUAAUGAUGAUGUGAGUCUCAUCUUUUAUUUUUUUAAACAAAGAAACGUUUCGUACUAAAAAGCAAUAACAAGCAACAAAGCAAAAAAGGGCCUACACAAGUAAGUCACUCCACUCUUCCUCCUUAGUCUAUGAAUGAAUUUUAUUAAAAUAAUCAGAAAGAAAAACAACUCGUGAAAUAACUUAAAAUAUACCUUCAAAUAUACUAUUUAUGAUUUAUUAUUAACCAAUCCUUUUUUGCUGGUGUCAAAGUAUUCAAGAAAAAAAUCAAUCAAAAAAAAAUCUUUCUAUUUGAAUAAUAAAUAUGCGUUUACAAUUAAAAA